GGAUGAGAAGGGUAUGAAUGGGUGGGUGGAUGGGUGGGGGGGGACGUGUGCUCGAGUGUGCAGAUGGAGGGACAGCACCGGAUCAUUGUACAUAAAAAACAGAUUUGCGAGGCCGUGCGCACAGAUACACAAGGCAGCACCGCUGCAGGAACAUCUCUCCCCACAGCACAAAAGCAUUUACCCUUCCAAAUGAAACUGAAAUGUAUGCUCUUGUUUUUUUUCCCCUCUCUCUCUCUCUCUCCCUGUCCUCUUUGUCUUGCUCUCCUUCUUUUCAUCCUGGCUGAUGGGGAAAUGGAGGGUAUUUGGGAGCUACUUAGAUAAUAGCCACAUCUUCCCCGGUCCCCCUUGUGCUUUAGAGGAGGAAACUGUGGCCCUGCCAUUGAGCCAGCCAGGAACCCAGCUGUGCACGACCCAUUCGGCACAACCGCUAUCUAGUCAGUACAGCCGCAUCGCUGGGGCUCCGUGAGACAAAAAAGCAGCCAAAGUCAAUUGUCUCAGCUGCUGAAUAGCUUUCUGUUCCCUGUCAUGCAUUUCCGAGUGCUUUUUUUUUUUGCAUGAUGAAAGGGGACCAAAAUACAAUGAAUUCAUUUUUUUUUUUUUUAUUGCGUAAAUUUUUUGGGGGGGGAAAAAAACAUUAAUUUUACAUUUCUACUUUUCAGGAACGAGAAAGUUCCUUUUUCAGAACAAUACGGUGGGUCUGGUUGUGGUAUACUGUCAGGGGUAAACUUGUUUUUAAAAAGAGUAGGAGAAUCGGAUAAUCCCCCUUUUGCGUUACUGACUUUUAAAUUAAAGGCACGACAGACCACACUCGGUUUAGGCAACAAAGAGGGCAGGUAGCAACGAUUAUAAAGAUAAAGCUUUUUUUUUUUAUGCUAACAUGUUCACUUCUAACUCCAUACGUACACCAGGUAAGUUCUUUAUACGGGCUCAUCUUGAAUGCGUUUUUGACCGACACAUUGUUUCAGAGCUCAAACAACUAUAUAACGCAGACAAACUGGUAAGAACACCAAAAUUACCUCGUUGAUUUUAUUUUUUUCCCCCCCAGAACCCAAGUCCGACACUUCCAGGCGACAUUCUCUUGACCUACAGACGCAGUCUCUCCCUAUAAUCCACAGCUCCAAACACUGGAUCACAGCAUUUAUCAGCCUGAAUCUGCCACGCUCCCUCCCUCUCUCGGUUACCUCUCUGGACCACCUCCCAUCCUCCCCCAUUUUCUGAACCUGACGAGUCAAAGGUCAGGAAAACAACAAGUCAAUACGCAACCGCGAAGAGGAGGAAGCGCCUCGCAGCUGAGAGAGCCGUGGAGAGGGGUAAGCCCCUCUGCAGCGCGCCGUGAUUUAGCCUGUAAUAGUUUUCUGUAAUCUCUUUCUAUUGAUUAAACCUCACAUCAAAGAGGAGUCUUGCUACAGAACCUCUCUUUUCCUGUUCAGAAAUACCAUAUGGAGGUAAUCUUUCACCUUUGUUAUUCUUGCCGCUCCCACCACUGCUGCCGCUGCCACUGCUGCUGGGAGCCCCUUCUCCCAGGCAUGAGGAGGGGAGACCAGUGGGAUAAUACAAGCCCAGCUCAAGGGAAUAACUGCAAAACUCAUCUGAAUCGCACACAGAUUUCGCUCAAUGCGUCCAUUGUCAUCCCAUGCAGGCUGAAUGUACCUAUUGUCUGGUAGGGUUUUGCAUUCAGGUUUGAUAUUUGUACCAAAAAGAAAAACCCUCACCAGCCAAGGGACAAAGAGCAGCACAUGCAUGCCACGUUUCACUGUAUCGCUUAUCUAAAUGCAAAACUAAAAAGACAAAAAAAAUGAAGUUGGGGUGGGCUCCUGCUAAAAACACUCAAUUUAGUGACAGGCAAAUGACUUCAUGCUGCCACUUAAUCUCAUUUCUUGCAUAAUGCUCUCUAAUUAGCAUAUCAAAGUGAAUUAAUACUUCUAGGGGCAUUAGCUAUGCAGGAAAAUGCUGUAGCGCUACAAAAACAGUUAGAAGAGCGCCAUGAAGUUCAGAACAGCCUGACAAGUGCUAAAAAUGUCUCGCUCUAUUUUUUUUCCUCAGAUUAUUAAGAAAAGAUCAUUUUGAGUUCUACAUGACAAUAAGUUCCUAAAACACGAUUAGAGUGAUUUGUUUUUUUGUUGUUAUUUUUUUAGUGUUGUUCGGCCAGCAGUGGGUUCCAUGGCCGGGAGAAAGCGGUCCCGCGUGUCGUCUGAACAGACACGAAAGUGUUAAGGAGACCCCCACAAACGAUGCUACGAGAGCUGGUGAAAGGCUCGCUGCGUGCAGGAGGAGCGGAGCGGUCAACAAGGCCACCAGACCAGCUGAGCUCUGUCAGAGGCAGAGAGGGAGAGACUAGGACUCCAGAGCACAGUUUCCUUUUAUUCAGCGCUCGGCACCUCCCCAUCCCAGACUUUGAGCCGCGACCAAAGCAGGCUCUUCAGGGAUAACAGAUGAGCACAGAUGAGCGGUGUCAGCCUACUGGGAGGAGGUGAAACAACUGGUGGACUGGGGUGACAAAAACAAUCUGAUCUUGAAUGUCAGCAAAACAAAAGAGAUCAUCAUUGACUUCAGGACAAAUUAGCCAAGUCACACACCCGUCCUCAUCAAACUCCUAAGGGCGCAGAAACGGUCACUUUGAUCUGGUGCCUCCACACCUGUUGUAAAGAGAUCACUGCAGGAUCUGCACUUUCUGCCUCAGAUAAGAAGAGCAAACCUCCCUCCUCCCAUCCUCACCACUUUCUACAGAAGGAAAUGGAGGACGUACUGACCAGCUGCAUCACUGUCUGGUCUGGGGCCGCCAAAGAUUAAGACUGGA